CCCUUAGAUGUCCUGGGCCGCACGCGCGCUACACUGAGUGACUGAGAUACGAGUCUGCCUGGUCCGGCAAGGUCUAGGUAAUCGCUAAAAGACACAUCAUGCUUGGGAUAGAUUAUUGCAAAUAUUAAUCUUGAACGAGGAAUUCCUAGUAAGCGCAAGUCAACAGCUUGCGUUGAUUACGUCCCUGCCCUUUGUACACACCGCCCGUCGCUACUACUGAUUGGAUGUUUAAGCGAGGUUCUCGAACUGCUAGCGACUUAGCUUCGGUGAGGUCGCAGUGUGGGAAGUGAACCUAGCUUUGGUGUCUAGAGGAAGUAAAAGUCGUAACA
rnacentral:rRNA from 1 species